CCCAGUCGUUAGUCAUUCGUUUCUAAGAAAGAUUCACUCCAUGCGUGAGUAUGUAUAAAUAGUUUUCAAUGAAUGAAUGAAUGGCUCUGUCUGUCAGAGAUAGUUUGGUGGAGGAUGAUUAUUGGUUGGAUGUCCGUAUUAUUUGGAGAACUCAUGCGUGUAGUAACUGUGGGAUGUGUCUAUUAGAAUGAAAACCAUAUGGUUCGGCAUGUUAGUGAGUAAUAGUAACCUAUCGUAUCGCAUGCUUAAUGUAGCGUGAGUCUUUCAAGUUUCUGCCCUAUCAGCUUUCGAUGGUAGCAUAUGGGUCUACCAUGGCAGUCGCGGGUACGAAGAAAUUGGGUUCGAUUUUGGAGAGGGAGCCUGAGAGAUAGGGCUACCACAUCAAGGAAGGCAGCAGGCGCGUGAAUUACCCAAUCCUGACACAGGGAGGUAGUGACAAUAAAUCACAAUGCGGGACUWCUAGUUUUGCAAUUGGAUUGAGAACAACGUACAACUCUUAUCGAUAAGCCAUUGGAGGGCAAGUC
rnacentral:rRNA from 1 species